rnacentral:miRNA from 1 species
ACCUUGCAUCUGCAUCCCCAG